GGGAGAAAGGAUUGCUUUUGCUUUUUCCCAUUUGUUUCUUGGAAGAAAGUCUGUGGGUGGAGUUGGGAAAAGAAAAUAAAUUCUAAGUUAAUUUGGCGUUUGAGUUGCUCAUGAUACUAGUAUCAACAAUUGAUGGGUGGAUUUGAUGAUCAUGUUGCCAUUAUGGGAGAUUGGAUGCCUCCAAGUCCAAGUCCAAGAACGUUUUUCUCUUCACUGCUAGGCGAUGAUGGUGGGUCAAGAUUAUCGUUUGAUGGCACCAAUGAAACUAGUGGAAACUUAGCUUCUGGUCCUCAAGAACAUGUUGGCAAUUCAGAUGGAGUUGAUACAGCACCAGCUGCAAUCAGUGAGCCACAACCGGUGAAGUUGAGUGUGCCGUCUGACCAGAAAAUGAACUCUCGCGGAGGAGGACUCUUGGAAAGAAUAGCAGCUAGAGCAGGAUUUAAUGCCCCAAAGCUGAACACGGAGAGCCUUAGACCUGCUGAUCUGAGGCAGAAUCAAGGAGUUCGCUCUCCUUAUUUAACUAUUCCUCCUGGUCUUAGUCCAACAACCCUGCUAGAGUCUCCUGUUUUUCUCUCCAAUUCACUGGUGCAACCAUCCCCAACAACUGGAAAAUUUCUAUUUUCCUCAGGCAUUGACAAUAGAAACUCGGCAUUGAUGAUGGAGGAUACAGAUAAAAGGAAAGAUAAUGCUUUAGAGAGUAUCAAUUCAUCAUCCUUUUCUUUCAAGCCAGUUCCAGAGACUGCUCCAUCUCUUUUUCCUGGCACGACCAGCAGAGUGAACCCGUCCAAUUUUUCUCAGCAAGGAUUUCCAAACAUUGAAGUUUCGGUUCAUUCCCAGAAUUCGCUUGUAUCUCACCGUGUGGAAGCUACACAAAACCCGACUCAGAAUGGAACGCUUCAGCAAUCAUCUGAUUUCCCUAGAUUUUCUGCUGAGAAGGAUGUCAUGGCUAAUAAUGUUACCCUAGAUUCUAGGACUUUUCAGACAGUUGGUAGUGCUGUGGACCAUUCUCCACCUCUCGAUGAACCGCAAGAUGAGGACAUUGAUCAAAGAGGAGGUGGAGAUCCAAAUGUUGCUGGUGCCCCAG
rnacentral:misc_RNA from 1 species